AGAAACACCAGUAAGUUCCAUAUUCUUCUAAUUUUUUGUGUUCUUAGUUUCCUUAGAUCUUCGAGUAGGCUUAAUUUAGCUAUCGUAGACAGUACUUCUGUAACCCGCUUCUGUUUCUUCCUUAAGUAAUUUAGGGAAAGAAGUGAUAUGGGUUCACAAUUGAGAACAAUUAUCUUCAUUCGUACGAGAUAUUUUGGGUUUUGGGUUUAUGCCCAAAAGUGGAAAUUAUCAUAUUAUUUCUUUACUUAGAAACCUUUAGGGAAUAAUGACCUUCCCCUACAUCCGCUACUGCUGCUAAUGCUCCAUUGGAGGCUCUGAUGUAAGUUUCAUUACUCAACUUUACUUUCUAGGAUUACCGGUGGAAAUAAGAUGUGCCCUUGAUAUGUUUUUUCUGACCAACGGCAGGCUACAUGGUACGGCUUUCUUCGUUAAAGAUUCUGUAUUUUAAUCAACUUUGCUUUUGUUGUUCAGUUUAGAUUAGAAGGGCAUAGUUCUUGAAAUGGCCAAGCGGGAUGCAUAUUUAUUCAAUGGUUGCUAAUCAUUUCAGAACUGCCUUGCUGACACACAUAACGUUAAGAGGUUUUUGAUUUUGAUGCAUUACUUGUGAAUUUGAUUCUUUAGGAAUGUUACGGGGGAAUGCAAGAUUGAAGUUAAAAUAAAGUUAAAGGUCAUUGUAAUAUAGGAGGACCAUUGUUUAUAGAAUAGCUUUCACUUUAGAAUUAAGAAAGCAUGUACGGUAUGUGGUAAUAAAUAGAGGAGGAAUGAGCACCAUUAACUCAUUAUACUAUUCGGUAUUUGCAUUCUAAACCCAUGAAAAAUAAUUGUUUUUAUUUCAUUUAUUUAAUUUAAUUUGCUUCAUAAAUUUGAUCUUUUUUGGUAGCAGGUUUAGCUUGAAGCUCGAAGGAUAUGAUUAGGAAUGAUUUUCAGUUUGAAACUAUCUUCAGUUGGGUUGGUUCCUUUUUAACUUCCAUCGUUUCUUUUGGUUUGAUGCAAAUUCACCAAUCCAAGUUUGAAAAAGGUGAAGGUUAUGAGUGAGAGGUUCUUUCAACAGAUCUUGAGGCUGACUGUUCUUCUUUGAAAUCUUUGUUACUGUACUCAAAAUAUGAAGGCAUGAUGAUAGAAUAGUCGAGUAAAAUGCCACCUGUUAGAUUUCAAGAGCUCGAUCAUAUUCUUCAUUGGAUUCAGAAUCCAUUUCUGUUGGGUGGUAACUUUAAACAUAAAAUUUUGAGGAUUCAUCAUAAGUGUUUUAGAAAAGCACCUCAAUCCAAAUGAGAUGUCCUAUAAUUAUUAUCAGAAGACAUAUUUGAAAA